rnacentral:tRNA from 1 species
ACGGGUAUAGCCAAGUUGGUAAGGCAACGGUUUUUGGUGCCGUGAUUCGUAGGUUCGAGUCCUGCUACCCGUG